GCGGGCUGGAGUGUGGUACAGGAACUGGAAUGCCGGUGUAGCGGUGAAAUGCGUAGAGAUCGGGAGGAAUACCUAAGGCGAAAGCAGGCUUCUGGGCCAUCACUGACGCUGAUCUGCGAAAGCUAGGGGAGCAAACAGGAUUAGAUACCCUGGUAGUCCUAGCCCUAAACGAUGCUCAUUAGAUGUGGGAGGUAUCGACCCUUCCGCGUCGAAGCUAACGCAUUAAAUGAGCCGCCUGGGGAGUACGGCCGCAAGGUUGCAAACUCAAAGGAAUUGACGGGGGCCCGCACAAGCGGUGGAGCAUGUGGUUUAAUUCGACGCGACGCGAAGAACCUUACCUGGGCUUGAACUACUGGUGGUAAGUCCUUGGAAACAGGGGCUGACCCGCAAGGGAGCCAGCAGAGGUGCUGCAUGGUUGUCGUCAGCUCGUGUCGUGAGAUGUUGGGUUAAGUCCCGCAACGAGCGCAACCCCUAUCUCAUGUUGCCAUCCCCGCAAGGGGGGCACUCUUGAGAAACUGCCUUCGAUAAGAAGGAGGAAGGUGGGGACGACGUCAAAUCCUCAUGGCCCUUAUGUCCAGGGCUACACACGUGCUACAAUGGCCGGUACAACGGGAAGCAAGGCCGCAAGGCGGAGCCAAACCCUAAAAGCCGGCCCCAGUUCAGAUCGUGGGCUGCAACUCGCCCGCGUGAAGGCGG
rnacentral:rRNA from 1 species